UACGAAGGGGGCUAGCGUUGCUCGGAAUCACUGGGCGUAAAGGGUGCGUAGGCGGGUCUUUAAGUCAGGGGUGAAAUCCUGGAGCUCAACUCCAGAACUGCCUUUGAUACUGAGGAUCUUGAGUUCGGGAGAGGUGAGUGGAACUGCGAGUGUAGAGGUGAAAUUCGUAGAUAUUCGCAAGAACACCAGUGGCGAAGGCGGCUCACUGGCCCGGUACUGACGCUGAGGUGCGAAAGCGUGGGAGCAAACAGG
rnacentral:rRNA from 1 species